ACUGCCAAUCAUCCUCCCCGAGUUUCGGUCCUGAAAUUCACAAUGAGAGUCAAAGAAAACAACACGAAAGUGAGAGUUUUUGGAUAAUUUACUGGCAGACAACAACUUGCGGGUCAGUUUAGGAACAUGAAGGACAGAGUGAAGAGUAAUAUUUUGUAAAAAUUUUAUUUGAACUUUUCCUACAAUGGGUGAGAAAUUGCCAUCAGCAAUCCUAACUCUUUCACUUUCAGAAUAAAAUAAAUAAGUAUUGAAUAAAGAAGAGAAAGAAGUCAUGUGAUCAGAUGCCCCCGAAUGUACAUCUGGAUAGACUGAAACCAACGCAAGAAAUUAUCACCGUUGAGUUUAAUGCUGGUGAUUUGCACCGAGUGAGAAUCAAUGUUGGAGACAUGUUUGUCAAUGUUUUUCGGUGAAACAGUAACAGUGGAUUCAGAUGUGGUUUCUGAUAUGGUGAAGGACAACUUGCUGGUUCUAGGAUUACCUCAGAAGGGUCAAAGAAUAAGUCCUCAGCUUUGAUACCAUGAAAGCUAGAAAGAACAAUAUUUCUUAUUCUCAUAUUUAAACAAUGUACAUAGCACCUCUAUUUAUAGGAGAUACAAGGCAUAAAAUUAGGAAUUGAUUAGCUAUUAAUUAGCUACUGAUUUUGAGGACUGAUUAGCUAUUAUUUAGCUACUAAUUUUGAUCCUAAUAAACUUUCCUAUUCUAUAGUAUUGACUAAAUCAAAAUGUUUACAGUUGUGAUAUCCAAAAGAAUUCAACCAUAUCCUGGAAGAAUUAUUUUCUUUCCAUUUCCAAUAUUGAAUAUAGUUGAUAUUUGUUAGUUUUCCUUUUCUCAGCUUCUGUGGCGCAUAGGCAUUGUUCGUCAUGCUAUGCUUUUUAAGGGGUAAGUGUUUUAUUGCCAUAAAAGAGGAUUUACAAUGAAGUUCAUGACAUGCCAAAGGCAAUACCCCCUCUAAAAGAGAGCUUACGCCUAGCCUGUAGAACAAUUAUUAAACCUCAACAAUUGGCAUUUUAGGAUAGAAAUUUGUGUGCUUUGCAAAUCCUUAGAGCCUCAAGAGAAAAUUGAGAAACUAAUUGGCAUGAGUAGUAUUUUAUUUUUGAGUUACUGCUUAUGUCUACAAAUUGGCUUUCAUAUUUAACCAAAAAAAAAAAGAAAAACAAAAGAAAAAACAAGAAUAGGGUUAAGUUGGUAGUUUAUUGGUGGUAGUUGCUACAUAAUUGAUGUCUGUUGGGCUAUAUAUAAUAAAUUCACGUGUUUUUUGGGAGAUAAAUGUAGACCUUUUUUUAUUCACUAGCAACUAAGCAGCGAGUAGUAACACAAGUGAUGAAGACUAAAGAAUUCCUCAACUGAACAGUGUGUCAACAACCAGGUAAUCUUAGUUAUCACUCAAGAAUUCCUUCACUUACAUUGUUGCCAUUGCUUGGAAAUGGAGACUAAAUUGGGCGUAGGUUUUUUUUGGUUUUUAUUUUUUUCAUUUAUCCUUUUUGAUGUUGUGAUGCAAAGCGUCAUUCUUUGGAAGUUGACAUGGGCAUGGAGAUAGAAGGUGAUGGGCGUGCCCGCAUAUCUUCAACUCGAUCUGGAAGCAGAUCUCGUCUUGCCUCCUGCACCAGCUGACAGAGUUGACAACCAGAAAAACUACAUUUGAGCCUUCAACAAUAUCAAUUGCUCAACAAGGCCCAUAAGACUCGGUAUGCUUCUAAAUCAUCUCAUAACAUCCACAAAACCUCUCUCAAAGAUAAUAGCAAAAACGCUAGAUUUGACCGCAAUGUUGUCAAGGGUGCUCGGGCUGCUCGAAUUCAGCAAAACAAAUGCUUUUCAUCGAAUAAAGGAUAAUAUUUCUAUUGCCUAAAGGCAGGAUUGCAUAUUUUUGUCGAUAAGGGAGCAGAAAAGUGAACUUUUAGACCCUGUUGUUGCUGAAGCUACACUGGACUUUCGGAAUCUUAACAAGAGAAAACUUUUAACUAAUUUCCUUACAUUUCUCCCUCAGAUUUGAAAAAUCGUUUCUAAGUGUGUUUCCAGCAUUGAUGUCUCC